AGUGAACGCUGGCGGUAGGCCUAACACAUGCAAGUCGAACGGCAGCACAGUAAGAGCUUGCCCUUACGGGUGGCGAGUGGCGGACGGGUGAGGAAUACAUCGGAAUCUACUUUUUCGUGGGGGAUAACGUAGGGAAACUUACGCUAAUACCGCAUACGACCUACGGGUGAAAGCAGGGGAUCUUCGGACCUUGCGCGAUUGAAUGAGCCGAUGUCGGAUUAGCUAGUUGGCGGGGUAAAGGCCCACCAAGGCGACGAUCCGUAGCUGGUCUGAGAGGAUGAACAGCCACACUGGAACUGAGACACGGUCCAGACUCCUACGGGAGGCAGCAGUGGUGAAUAUUGGACAAUGGGCGCAAGCCUGAUCCAGCCAUACCGCGUGGGUGAAGAAGGCCUUCGGGUUGUAAAGCCCUUUUGUUGGGAAAGAAAAGCAGCAGGUUAAUACCCCGCUGUUCUGACGGUACCCAAAUAAUAAGCACCGGCUAACUUCGUG
rnacentral:rRNA from 1 species